rnacentral:misc_RNA from 1 species
UGUUGACCGCAGUACUGGCUUUGUCGCACCGAAGACGCUGCUGCCCGUCUUCGGCCUGUGUAUUUCAAAGCCAGCAGUUGGAUGGUUAUCCCGCCAUCGGUCGGCUUCUUAAGUUCCAAGGUGGUUGUGGAACCUUGUUAUCCCUUAGUCGCCUCUUACGACACCCACGGGAAGAGAGGGGGUGGCUAAAUUCUUUAGUGCCGUAGCCACACAACACCCCGUGGAUGUAUAUGACUUGUAAAAAAA